GACAAAACACCGGGUAAGACUACAUAUACAUAACAAAUCUUUACAGGUUAUAUGGAGGAGCACUGCAAGAAAUGGCAAAGGAAAGGUGAGCAGAGAUCUUAUAUGGGCCUUGUUAGCUGUUUGUGUCUAUUAUAUAUGAAAAGCAAGGAAUGUUGCAUUGUAGAGGUAUAAAGUACCAAGACCUCAUCUGGUAUGCAAGCUUAUUCAGGAGGAAUAAAAGAUAAAGACUACAUAUUUUACAAAGCAAGAAGAAGAUGAAAGAUAGAGAUUGGUUGGAACAGAUUAUAGCAGGGUAGAGAUAUAGAUUAUAUUAGUUGGCG
rnacentral:lncRNA from 1 species